GGAGAGAUGGCUGAGUGGUUGAAAGCGCCGGAUUCCUAAUCCGUUACAUAGUUUAUUCUAUGUCGAGGGUUCAAAUCCCUUUCUCUCCG
rnacentral:tRNA from 1 species